CGGUACAUACUGAGGAGACGCGAUGCGUACGGUAGUGAUGUGCCAAAUACUUUUAUUUAGGGAUGUGCACUCGAGAACAGCAGAUGUUACGCUAGAUACGGAUGCUAUCUUUAAUAUAUAAAAAAGUGCAUGAUUGAAUAUGAUGAUAUUACGGUUUAAACAAGCCCGGACACGAAAAAUUUGCUAAUCGGAGAAUGGCCGUUA
rnacentral:misc_RNA from 1 species